AACGUGCAGAUGUUUGGGAAAGAGGUUGAAGAUUGUUUCUGAGUCAGCACUGCUGCAGUUGUACUUCCUGUUUCUGUAUAACAAUACAGAUACUGGUGAAUGUGACUCUGAAGCAGCUGCUGUGGGAAACCUUCUCCUGUAGUGUUUCUGUGCUCAAGCAGGCAGGUACAUGACUCAAACUAGAAUAUCUCCACACAGAUCUGCUAAUAGAUACGUUUAGGAUUUUGAAAGUGGUGCUGAAAACACUCUGCGCCUCUUCGUCUCAGAGAGUAGUUGACCUGUAGUGACUCUAAAAACUGGCAUUGUGUGAGGACAGGGGUGGAAGGGUGCAGAGCGGCAGGUGGAAGAGUAUUUAGGCAUCUCGUUUGCUCAGCCACCACAGGGGCCUUCUGCGGUUUGCUGCAAAAAUGCCUAAAAUCACUGGAGAUGAACAUGCACCUGGCAGCUGAGGCCUCCCGGAUCAGAUCAUAUCCGUCUCCAGUCAGUCCCUUUAAUGGAGAUCCAAACUCACAAUCAGCACAUCAGUGUCAGUAUGAUGGUCCUUUGUCCAGUCGCCAUGAGAGGAGUGGAAGCCCUGCACACCAGCAACCCACUGGCUACAGCUCAACAUGUACUGAUAGUGAUAAUCAGAAUCAGCUUCUUUUAUGUUUUUGUUUUUUACAGCUUGUUUCUGUUUCUAUUGCUGAUUUUAUUCCCGGUUUCCCUCUUUUAGUAGAGUACAAUUCACAGCAGAGAAUCCAACUGAAAACCUAAUAAUAAUAAUAAUAAUAAUAAUAUAAGUUAAUUGUGCUUAUUAGUUCACAUGCUGUUAU